rnacentral:rRNA from 1 species
ACGUUGGCGGCGUGGAUUAGGCAUGCAAGUCGAACGGGCCGCAUGGCCCGUGGCGCAAGGGUGAGUAAGGCGACGGUAACCAACCCCACGACUGGGUAUAGCCGCGGGAAACUGCGGGUAAUCCCCAGCGACGUACGGGGCCGGCAUCGGCCCCGUACCAAAGCUCCGGCGUCGUGGGACGGGCCGUCGUGGUAUUAGGUGGUUGGCGGGGUAACGGCCCACCAAGCCGGCGAUGCCUACCGGGCGUGCGAGCGUGGCCCGGCACACUGGGACUGAGACACUGCCCAGACUCCUACGGGAGGCUGCAGUCGAGAAUCUUCGGCAAUGGGCGCAAGCCUGACCGAGCGACGCCGCGUGGAGGACGAAGGCCUUCGGGUUGUAAACUCCUGUCGAGGGGGAAGAAGGCCCCGCAAGGGGCUUGACUGAUCCCUGGAGGAAGCACGGGCUAAGUUCGUGCCAGCAGCCGCGGUAAGACGAACCGUGCGAACGUUAUUCGGAAUCACUGGGCUUAAAGCGCGUGUAGGCGGGACGGCACGUCCGACGCUGAAAUCCCCCGGCUCAACCGGGGAACGGGCGCGGAUACGACCGGCCUGGAGGGGCGUAGGGGGACCUGGAACUUCCGGUGGAGCGGUGAAAUGCGUUGAGAUCGGAAGGAACGCCCGUGGCGAAAGCGAGGUCCUGGACGCCUACUGACGCUGAGACGCGAAAGCCAGGGGAGCGAACGGGAUUAGAUACCCCGGUAGUCCUGGCCGUAAACGAUGGGCACUGGGUAG